rnacentral:rRNA from 1 species
GCCCAGACUCCUACGGGAGGCAGCAGUGGGGGAUAUUGCACAAUGGGGGAAACCCUGAUGCAGCGACGCCGCGUGUGGGAAGACGGUCCUCUGGAUUGUAAACCACUGUCCCCAGGGACGAAGAUGACGGUACCUGGGGAGGAAGCUCCGGCUAACUACGUGCCAGCAGCCGCGGUAAUACGUAGGGGGCAAGCGUUAUCCGGAUUUACUGGGUGUAAAGGGAGCGUAGACGGUUAUGUAAGUCUGGAGUGAAAGCCCGGGGCCCAACCCCGGGACUGCUUUGGAAACUGUGUAACUGGAGUACAGGAGGGGCAGGCGGAAUUCCUGGUGUAGCGGUGAAAUGCGUAGAUAUCAGGAGGAACACCGGCGGCGAAGGCGGCCUGCUGGACUGAAACUGACGUUGAGGCUCGAAAGCGUGGGGAGCAAACAGGAUUAGAUACCCCCGUAC